rnacentral:tRNA from 1 species
GCCUGGGUGGCUCAGUCAGUUGAGCAUCUGACUUCAGCUCAGGUCAUGAUCUUGAGGUUUGUGGGUUCGAGCCCCACGUCGGGCU